rnacentral:rRNA from 1 species
ACGUAGGGUGCGAGCGUUAAUCGGAAUUACUGGGCGUAAAGCGUGCGCAGGCUGCUUCGCAAGUCAGACGUGAAAUCCCCGGGCUUAACCUGGGAAUGGCGUUUGAAACUACGGAGCUGGAGUGUGGCAGAGGGGGGUAGAAUUCCACGUGUAGCGGUGAAAUGCGUAGAUAUGUGGAGGAAUACCGAUGGCGAAGGCAGCCCCCUGGGCCAACACUGACGCUCAUGCACGAAAGCGUGGGGAGCAAACAGGAUUAGAUACCCUGGUAGUCCACGCCCUAAACGAUGUCAACUAGGUGUUGGGGAAGGAGACUUCUUUAGUACCGCAGCUAACGCGUGAAGUUGACCGCCUGGGGAGUACGGUCGCAAGAUUA